rnacentral:rRNA from 2 species
GCCUGUUUAUCAAAAACAUGGCCUUUUGAUAAUUAUUUAAGGUCUGACCUGCUCUAUGAUUAAUUAAAUGGCUGCGGUAUUUUGACCGUGCAAAGGUAGCAUAAUCAUUAGUUUUUUAAUUGGAAGCUGGUAUGAAUGGUUGGACAAGGGAAUUACUGUCUCUGAAUAAUUUUAUUUGAAUUUUAUCUUUUAGUGAAAAAGCUUAAAUAUUUGUGAGGGACGAGAAGACCCUAUAGAAUUUUAUAAAUUAAUUUUGAUGGGAUUUUUGGUUUUAUUUAUUUAGUUAUAAUUAAUUUGUUUUGUUGGGGUGAUAGGAAAAUUUAUAAAACUUUUCUUUAUGUUUUACAUUGAUGUAUGAAUUUAUGAUCCAUUAUUUAUGAUUAAAAGAUUAAAUUACCUUAGGGAUAACAGCGUUAUUAGUUUGGAGAGUUCUUAUCGAUAAACUAGAUUGCGACCUCGAUGUUGGAUUAAAAUUAAUACUUGGUGUAGGGGCUAAGUGGUUAAGUCUGUUCGACUUUUAAAAUUUUACAUGAUCUGAGUUCAGACCGG